CAAACGGCGAGUUUGAUCCUGGCUCAGGAUGAACGUUGGCGGCGUGCCUAACACAUGCAAGUCGAACGGGAAGCCUCCUUCGGGGGGUGGAGAGUGGCGCACGGGUGCGUAACACGUGGUUAACCUGCCCUGGGGACGGGGACAACCGCUGGAAACGGCGGCUAAUACCGGAUGUCACGAUAUACGGGGGACUGUAUAUGGUGAAAGGGCGCUUAUGGCGCCCGCCCUGGGAGGGGACUGCGGCCCAUCAGCUGGAUGGUGGGGUAACAGCUCACCAUGGCGAAGACGGGUAGGGGAUCUGAGAGGGUGGUCCUCCACACCGGGACUGAGACACGGCCCGGACUCCUGCGGGAGGCAGCAGUGAGGGAUAUUGCGCAAUGGACGGAAGUCUGACGCAGCGACGCCGCGUGGGUGAAGAAGGUUUUCGGAUCGUAAAGCCCUUUUCUGCGUGACGAGGAUGACGGUAGCGCAGGAAGAAGUGUCGGCUAACUACGUGCCAGCAGCCGCGGUAACACGUAGGACACGAACGUUAUCCGGAAUUACUGGGCGUAAAGGGCGCGCAGGCGGUUAUACAAGACGGACAUGAAAGCCUGGGGCUCAACUCCGGGAGGCUGUCGGUGACUGUAUAACUUGAGCGUGAGAGAGGGGUGUGGAAUUCCGCGUGUAGUGGUGAAAUGCGUAGAGAUGCGGAGGAACACCGGAGGCGAAGGCGGCACCCUGGCUCACGGCUGACGCUGAGGCGCGAAAGCAUGGGGAGCGAACGGGAUUAGAAACCCCGGUAGUCCAUGCUGUAAACGAUGUGCACUCGAUGUUUGUCGGGCUACGGCCCGGUGGGUGUCCCAGUGAACGCGGUAAGUGCACCGCCUGGGGAGUACGGUCGCAAGGCUAAAACUCAAAGGAAUUGACGGGGGCCC
rnacentral:rRNA from 1 species